UACGAAGGGGGCGAGCGUUGUUCGGAAUUACUGGGCGUAAAGAGCGCGCAGGCGGUCGUUCAAGUCGCGUGUGAAAGCCCCCGGCUCAACUGGGGAGGGUCACGCGAUACUGAUCGACUCGAAGGCAGGAGAGGGUAGUGGAAUUCCCGGUGUAGUGGUGAAAUGCGUAGAUAUCGGGAGGAACACCAGUGGCGAAGGCGACUACCUGGCCUGUUCUUGACGCUGAGGCGCGAAAGCUAGGGGAGCAAACGGGG
rnacentral:rRNA from 1 species